rnacentral:rRNA from 1 species
CCUACGUGGGGCAGCAGUGAGGAAUAUUGGUCAAUGGGCGCGAGCCUGAACCAGCCAAGUAGCGUGAAGGAUGACUGUCCUACGGGUUGUAAACUUCUUUUAUAAAGGAAUAAAGUGAGGCGCGUGUGCCUUUUUGUAUGUACUUUAUGAAUAAGGAUCGGCUAACUCCGUGCCAGCAGCCGCGGUAAUACGGAGGAUCCGAGCGUUAUCCGGAUUUAUUGGGUUUAAAGGGAGCGUAGAUGGGUUGUUAAGUCAGUUGUGAAAGUUUGCGGCUCAACCGUAAAAUUGCAAUUGAUACUGGCAGUCUUGAGUACAGUUGAGGUAGGCGGAAUUCGUGGUGUAGCGGUGAAAUGCUUAGAUAUCACGAAGAACUCCGAUUGCGAAGGCAGCUUACUAAACUGCCACUGACAUUGAUGCUCGAAAGUGUGGGUAUCAAACAGGAUUAGAUACCCUUGUAGUC